rnacentral:tRNA from 1 species
GCGCGAGUGGUGGAAUUGGUAGACACGAGGGACUUAAAAUCCCUUGCCCAUAAACCGGCGUGCGGGUUCGAUUCCCGCCUUGCGCACCA